rnacentral:rRNA from 1 species
UACGGAGGGGGCAAGCGUUGUUCGGAAUUACUGGGCGUAAAGGGCGUGUAGGCGGUUUGCCAAGUCAGAUGUGAAAGCCCCGGGCUUAACCUGGGAACUGCAUUUGAGACUGGCAGGCUAGAGGUUGGAAGAGGAGAGUGGAAUUCCCAGUGUAGAGGUGAAAUUCGUAGAUAUUGGGAAGAACACCAGUGGCGAAGGCG